GAUGAACGCUGGCGGCGUGCCUAAUACAUGCAAGUCGAGCGAACAGACGAGGAGCUUGCUCCUCUGACGUUAGCGGCGGACGGGUGAGUAACACGUGGAUAACCUACCUAUAAGACUGGGAUAACUUCGGGAAACCGGAGCUAAUACCGGAGAAUAUAUUGAACCGCAUGGUUAAAUAGUGAAAGACGGUUUUGCUGUCACUUAUAGAUGGAUCCGCGCCGCAUUAGCUAGUUGGUAAGGUAACGGCUUACCAAGGCGACGAUGCGUAGCCGACCUGAGAGGGUGAUCGGCCACACUGGAACUGAGACACGGUCCAGACUCCUACGGGAGGCAGCAGUAGGGAAUCUUCCGCAAUGGGCGAAAGCCUGACGGAGCAACGCCGCGUGAGUGAUGAAGGUCUUCGGAUCGUAAAACUCUGUUAUUAGGGAAGAACAAAUGUGUAAGUAACUAUGCACGUCUUGACGGUACCUAAUCAGAAAGCCACGGCUAACUACGUG
rnacentral:rRNA from 1 species